AAUCCGUGAUUGGGGAAAUUCUUGACUAAUCCUUUAAAGCGCUCCCAUGCGGCACUCAAGGUUUCAAAUUCUUCCUGCUCGAAGUUCAUGAUUCUCUCUCCGCCUCC